rnacentral:rRNA from 1 species
GACGUAGGGCGCAAGCGUUGUCCGGAUUUAUUGGGCGUAAAGAGCUCGUAGGUGGCUUGUUGCGUCUGCCGUGAAAGCCCGUGGCUUAACUACGGGUCUGCGGUGGAUACGGGCAGGCUAGAGGCUGGUAGAGGCAAGCGGAAUUCCUGGUGUAGCGGUGAAAUGCGUAGAUAUCGGGAGGAACACCUGCGGUGUAGACAGCUUUCUGGACCACUUCUGACGCUGAGACACGAAAGCGUGGGUAGCAAACAGG